GUAAUUUUACUUACAUUAAUGUUAAGUGUUUGUGAGAAAUUACAAGGCAAUGCUUGUAGCGAUGGUCUUUCUUCUUAAAACAAUGUCAGUUAUCUGGCAAAUAACCCACAUGAGAGAUGGCUUUUAAAUCACCCUUCUUAAACACAAGAUAACAUUAAAAAGUGUCUCUCAUAGCUGCUUAAACCGUAGCUUGCUCAUAUCUGAGCUACAGUAUAUUUUAUUUAAAGGACAUAGAACCACCUUAUUAACGACUGCUGCCAGUUUGAAGACUAUGUUUAUGCUGAAAGAUGGAGAGGAUGAGCACAAGCUCUUUUGUCUUCGUCAGGCACUGGGACAGGCCUGCAAUAUUCUUUGAUUGGAAGGCAGAAAAUUCCCAGAUUCACUUCUUCUCAUGGCACAGAUAAGCACUUCAAAGCUUCCGCACUGCAGGGCUUAGUGGGGGAUGUAUUUAAACCUUCUGUUUCUUUGCAGGUGCAGUAACUAAACAGCAACUCUAUUACCUACUUUCUUCUGUAAAUAGGAUGGGAAGAAAAGUGUGUGUGGAAGGUUGCAGUAAACAGCAUGAUGUAGUCACUUGUACUCACUGGGCUGCAAACCAGGCUGGAGUGACUCACACUUCCAUGUUAGGAUGUUGAGUGAGAGCCUAGAUUGCUAUAAAGUAAUAACAAUGCAAUUGCUUCUUUCUAAAAGUUAGGAAGCUUUUUCUAAGAAGACCUUACAAAAGCUGUCACUAUCCUCUGAAUCAGGUAUUUCAAAUCAAAGGAAAGUAAACCAAGACAGAACAGAUGCUUGAAAUACAGAAUAAUCUUCAGUGUGUAUCCCAAAGAUAAGAGUGAGGAAUCUCAAAGCUACGUUUCUGCAACAAGAAUGCCAAGUAAAAAAAGAGUGCUUGUCCCUCAGCGAGCUCACAUCACUGCCAUGCCACAAGGAGAAGCAAAACUGAAGAAAUUAUAUCCCGUGGAGCACAAAGAUUUCCCACCAUCCUACAGGUAUUUUAACAGAACAAACUCAAUCAAAUGCUCCAUUCACUUCUUAUGAACAGCUAUAUAUUAGCUGUCUUGUUGGAAAAUGUUGUUCAAAUGUUUCAACUGUUGGCACCAAUUUCCAGAAUUUAAAAAAUUCAGCCUUCUGAUGAUGUUGCAAAAGCUCACACUUUCCUUAGAGGAACCUAGGUUUAAAUAGACAUCAGUAACAGAGCAAUUGUCAGCACUUAGGUAUUGACAUAGCUCUGUUUCCACUGAAGUUAGAUCACUAAUUCUUUUAAAAAUUCCAUCCAGUAUAGCCUCUCUUUCAAACUCCGUUUUAUGCGGGAUGAGGCAUAACACUUUGUUGAUUGUAAACUAAAUGUGCUCUUUCUCCCUGUGUACUGACUAACCAUGCAGAAAUUCUUUGUUUUAGAAUUUAAAAUUACAAUCCAGACUGUUUGGAAAUGUGUAAAAUGCAAAGCUCUAGCAUAUGGUGAAAAACACACAGCUGCAUUUAUACACUAAAUAAAGAUCUUGUUUUUACUUCAGUUUUACCACCAGAUGCAGGUACAAACAGAAUGAAUCUGUUGAAGUCAGUGACAUUAUGUAGCAGUUACACUGGGGAAUGGUCAGAAUCAGGAGCUUUUUUAUUUUGUCCAGCUCUUAGCCUGUUUGUGAGAUGUUGUAACACAGGUACUAAGGGAAGGAGCUAGGAUCACUGUGAAAAUUAAAGUGUCAUCUUUUAUUCUGUGUGGAAGGGUCUGCAUUAUUAAUUUGAAUAUUCACUGCUAUCUGUGAUACUCCAGUGCAUUAUUUUAGAUCACAAUCUGCCCGAGCUCUCUGGAAUUUGCUUUCAGGUGUUUGUAUUUCUGUGCCACUUGAAACAAU
rnacentral:lncRNA from 1 species